GGGGAUGUAGCACAAACGGUAGAGCACUGGCUUUGCAUGCGAGAGGUAUGGGUUUGAUACCUCGCAUCUCCA
rnacentral:tRNA from 1 species